GGAGGUGAAAGUCUCACCAGGUAAACUGUAGGCUUGGCCCCAGCUGGACGCCAGUCUGCAUAGGUGUGGCUCUCAACAGAAGGCCAAGUGUCCUUGAAAAGGGCUUGUUAUAAGUCACAGAAGAUGCCCUGUGCCUUCAGGAACUGAGGACAAAGCCCAUAAUCUAAAGAACCUGCCAUAUCCCUAAUCACUUGUAAUGAGCGGUUUGGGAGUUACAAGGCAGGAAACAUAAAUGAACAUCAAAAUGUGUAUUUCUUAGACCAUGGUGUGGUGGUUGUAUCAUGUGAUAGCUGCUUACCUAUCACUGGCUCACCUGAACAAUGAUUCUAGUCUCUCUCCCAGAGCCCUACCUUAGGAUCCCUCAUUAAGAAGUUUGCCUCCGGGGCUGGGGAUUUAGCUCAGUGGUAGAGCGCUUACCUAGGAAGCGCAAGGCCCUGGGUCCCCAGCUCCGGAAAAAAAAGAACCAAAAAAAAAAAAAAAAAAAAAGAAGUUUGCCUCCAAGGGUUGGGGAUUUAGCUCAGCGGUAGAGCGCUUGCCUAGCACACACACACACAUGCACACAUACACGCAAGCACACACAAGCACACUCGCACACACAUACAUGCACAUGCACACACACACAUGUAAGCACACACACAUGUACAGACACACACGCACUGUGUUUUAAAAAGAAAAUAAAACUUAAAAGAACUACUGAAAAGUCACACCACUAAUAGUCAACGGGUUCGCUUCUAAAACACCUAUUUUCUUUCUUACAGGAUUGAGAGGUUGCAUCUAACCUUGAAGUCAGAGGUGUCUUGGUUCACAUCUAGCUCCCUCCGGGCUGUGAGACCUUUGGUUAGCUAGAAGAGUUUAAUGGGGUUUGACUCUGUCACUCAGAGACGCUAACACUAUUUCAUGGGUGGCCAUGGUGGUUUUAAAUAAGCCAAUGCACGUGAAGCCUCUAUUGAGUCCGCAGUAUGUAUCCCGCACAUACUAGUGCAAAAUCAUUUCCAAGGAAAGUUCACAACAUGGACUGGCUGAACAAUUCUCUUGUAAAAGGAUUUGAUCUAGAAGUGGUUUUCUUCAUUCUUAUCCCCCACCCCGCAUGUCUGUGUGUGUAUGUGUGCGUGUGUGUGUGUGUGUGUGUGUGUGUGUCUAUAUGUGUGUGGUGUGUGUGCAUGUGGUAUGUGUGCUCAUGGUAGUGUGCUCUAUAUGUUGUAGUGUAUGUAUGUGUGUAUGCUCUGUGUGUAUGUAUUAUGUGUGCUGUUUGUGUCUAUAUGUGUGUGUGCUGUGUGUGUUCAUGGUGUGUGCACUCUAUAUGUAUGUAGUGUGUGUGUAUAUAUGCUAUAUAAGUAUUAUGUGCAUGUAUGUAUGUAGUAUGUGUGCUGUGUGUGUACGUAUCUGUGUGUGUAUGUAAUGUGUGAGUGUCUGUGUGUGUGGUGUGUGUGUCUGAGUGUGUGCAUGUGGUAUAUGUGCUCUAUAAGUAUGUAGUAUGUACAUGUAUAUGUGCAUGUAUGCAUGUAGUAUGUUGCUGUGCAUGUCUGAAUGUGUGUAUACUGUAAGUGUAUGUAUGUAUGGUGUGUGUAGGUGUGUGUAGGUGUGUGUGUGUGUGUGUGUGUGUGUGUGUGUGUGUGUGUGUGUGUAGGUACUCCUUCCACUGUGGGCUUCAGGAAUCCAGCUCAGGCUUACGCAGCACUUUUACCAGCUGAGCUGUCUCCUGCCCUGGAUCUAAAGUUUUAAAGUCUCUUAUUUUUAGGUCAUUGGGCCCAUUGCUUUUAGGUCACUUGUCUGGUGCACAUUCAGCUGCCAUUACCACGUGACCUCCCAGGGAACUUCCUGUCCUUCCUGCUGUUUUAGUGGUUUGCUGGUGCAAAGUCAGGGAUUUCAAAGCUGUAGCUCAAGGUGGAGUUUUAUCAUGCAGCCGGAAUUCGCUUUCCUGGUUGCAACAAUGUUAACAACUGAAAUUCAAAAUAGGAUGUUUUCUAUUCAGUUCCUUCUCAGACUCUUUCUCUACACAGAAAAAACGUGGGUAGCAGAUACAUUGAGUGGAGAGAAGAUUCUGAGUAAAACCCUACUGGUGGUUUUGACUGAGAACUUAAAACUUUACUUUCGUUAUUACCAGACAGGAUCAACUGUCAUUGAAAGCAAGACAAAACAAGAAUAGCGGUUCACCCUGAAGAGUAAUUCCAGCAUUGAAGAAAAUCAGAUGUUAUAGCCAUACAUGUACAAAAUAAUUUUAGUGUAACUUUUAAAGUAAGAUUAAGAUUUCUGAAAGUUAUUAAGUUAAUAUACCAAGUAUCAGGUGUCAUCGUGUCUCUUUCAUACUUAGUUAUUAUAUUAUAACUAUAUUAUAUUAUAUUAAUAACUAUAAAUUAUUUGCUAGCUCCAGGAUUCUGACUUCAGAGCCUACGCUGGAGUUAUACUGAAGGACUUGGAAUAAACUGAAGUUGGAAAUCACAUUAGGAUUUCAUAGAAGGUCCUAGGCUAAGUAUUGAUAACAGACAUGAAGAUAAGGAUACAGUCCCUGCACAGGACAGCCCUAGACUUGAUGGUGUGAGAAGACAAAGAAGACGUAUAUUUUCCAGGAAGGUAAGAUAAAAAGACAAGACAGAAUCCCAGGCCUACCUACCAACCAGCAGCCUCUUCUCUCGCUGAGCUGGAAUCCCAGUUUGAAGACGGGGACUUCCAAUUUCAUGUGUUUGCCAGAUUCCCUCAUCCGUGACUUGUGAACACCCGAGAGUCAAAGAAAGAGUCCUCAUGCUUUUUCUGAGACCUUCUGGACCCAGCACUCACAUGCUGACUGGCUGAUCGCUGACCUGCCCCGUGUUUUUAUGAGGAGCUUGAUAAGUAUGUGGUUGUGAGUUAAGGUAACUGGAGUGAAAAGGCUAGACUUGGUGUCUGUAAGCUAGCCAAAGGGGAGUUAUGACCAUAGCAGUAUGGUGUUAUGGCUUUUAGACUAGUAACUCCCCAUGUUUAACGUGCAUCAUCAACCCUCUGCAUACAGUUGCAGAAUCGUCCUGUCCACCCUGUUGGAUCAUCACAGAGGAGCUCAGAUAGCAGCUCUGGAGCCAUUUGAUGGAGACAUACACAGCUCAUUUCCCAACUUCAACACAGUGGCUAUUUUGCUUCUCAGAGUAGCAAAGAGUAAUAAUUUCAACAAUUGACCUCAUGCUUCGAGUGCUAACAAACUAAA